AUCGCUUCUCGGCCUUUUGGCUAAGAUCAAAGUGUAGUAUCUGUUCUUAUCAGCUUAAUCGGUGGACUAGUUGCUUUUGUCGCUGACAGCUCCAUAGUACCGGUUAAGCAGUCUGAACUUUUAUUCUUUUCACAGCAUUAAUUAUUGGUUUUUCUUUUUAGGAACACCGGUACUGAUGCUGUGCUAGUUUCUUCUCCUGGAGGGCGGAGCUGAAGGCGG
rnacentral:snRNA from 1 species